GAUGAACGCUGGCGGCGUGCCUAAUACAUGCAAGUCGAACGCUCAAGCGAGGGCUUGCCCUCUCGGACGAUUGCCGCGGGGGGGUGUGAAACGUGGGGAAAACCUAUCUUAAAGACGGAGAACACUUGGGGAAACCGGCGAAAACAGCGUAUAAUCAAUUGUAGCGCAUGGUUCGAUAGUAAAAGACGAUUGUGCUAUCACUUAUAGAUGCUUCCUUGCGGUAUCUUCUUGUUGUUAAGGCAACGGCUUACUAAGGCAACGAUUCGUAGCCGACCUGAGAGGGGGAUCGGCCACACGGGAACGGAGACACGGCCAAGACUCCUACGGGGGGCAGCAGUAGGGAAUCUUCCGCAAUGGGCGAAAGCCUGACGGAGCAACGCCGCGGGAGUGAUGAAGGUCUUCGGAUCGUAAAACUCUGUUAUUAGGGAAGAACAAAGGUGUAAGUAACUGUGCACGUCUUGACGGUACCUAACCAGAAAGCCACGGCUAACUACGUG
rnacentral:rRNA from 1 species